UCGACAAGACUACCCCUCCUCAGUUGAAUUGCAUUUGCUCCUUGGUUAAAAAUUAAUUGGACAUAUUUGUGGGGUAUCUCUCUGGGUUCUCUGUUCUGUCCCAUUGGUAAUGUGUCUGUUCCUCCACCAGUACCACACUAUCUUGAUUACUGCAGGUGUAAGUUUGGACACUGGGAAGAGUGAUUCCUCACACUUAUUUUUUUUUUUCCCAAAAUUGUUCUGGCUAUUCUGUGGCCAUUUGCUUUCCGUAUACAUUUUCCCCUCUUCGUCCUCCAGCUUUAUUGGAAUGAUUUAUUUUGGUCUUCUUUGAUUUUUUUAAAUAAUUUUCAUGAUACUGAUCUUGUACAUCUUUUCUUAAAUUUAUACC
rnacentral:lncRNA from 1 species